rnacentral:rRNA from 1 species
UACAGAGGGUGCAAGCGUUAAUCGGAAUUACUGGGCGUAAAGGGUGCGUAGGUGGUUUGGUAAGUUAGGUGUGAAAGCCCCGGGCUUAACCUGGGAAUUGCGCCUAAUACUGCUGAACUGGAGUACUGUAGAGGAAGGUGGAAUUUCCGGUGUAGCGGUGAAAUGCGUAGAUAUCGGAAGGAACAUCUGUGGCGAAGGCGACCUUCUGGACAGAUACUGACACUGAGGCACGAAAGCGUGGGGAGCAAACAGG